CUAUACACUUUCACCGCAUCCUGAAGAACCACUGGUUGAACUGUUCAUCUGAAGAACCACUGGUUGAACUGUUCAAAGCACUCCUUCGUUGCGACGUGAAAAGCAUGUGCAGACAUCGAAGAAUCACCCAAAACAGGGCUGCUGGCGCAAUACAUAGGACGCAGCUAAAAUGUCGCCCAUUCGGAUAACGUACUUCUUUCGCUUUUCUUCACUGCUGUCAGUGCAAGACAUUGCGCCUGGGACUGCGCCUGCUAAUGCGACCGCCAGUGCACUUUGUUUGACGAGACCAGAAGAGCAUCAUAUGAUCGUCAUUGUUCAUGACUUUUCAUGUGAAAGCUUAUAUUUUUUUUUUCAAAACUCAGUCGAAUUCUUUAAAAUAAACAUAGAUUGCAGCACUGUGUA
rnacentral:lncRNA from 1 species